rnacentral:lncRNA from 1 species
GCUUCCAGUGGUCACGGCGCUCGGGUGAGGACGUUUCCUCAGACCGCCGUCUCUGGGCCGAGGUGACGGCUGAACGAGGAGGGCCGUCCACUACCUUUCAGACGAGGGUACCCUAGAAGCCUCGUCUUCAACGUCCUGCCACGAGCCAGGACACCGCGCCGCCGGCUCACUGAACACGAUCGAUUCUGCCGACACACCGACUCGGGGUGUUGAUGUUCGACGCAGUUCCAGACUGGGAACAAAGGCCGACGGAGGAGCGGGAGCCGCACGAGCUGCACUGCGUCCACCGGCCGGGUCAGUGGACAGAGCGGGUGGUCCAACAGUGUGUGGACGGUACUGAGCUCUGUCCACCGGAGCCGACCACGGCGGAGGCGGCGAAUAUCAGCACAAAUUACUACUAUUCCAAGUCAACUUCGUGGUGCCAUGAUCAGGGUGGGCUCCAAAACUAUCAUCCUUCCGGCCGGAGUCGGUAUCGGCGAGCUGACUGGGCUGCGGAUCUCAGGGGAGACUGUGGAGCGGAUAUCAAUCACCGCCGCCGACCUCCCGCGACGGAUAGGGUUUCUGCCGGAGGGCCUCAAGUGCCUCAAUGUCAGAGGGCCGGAGGUGACGGAGCCGAGGUGGCCGGAAUGGGACGAGUAUGGUCUGUCAGUGUCGCUCCAGGGGGUGGCUGCCGACACCAUCAGUCACCUGGCUGACCUGGGACGGACGGUCAAACGACUGUAUAUAUACGGUGAGUAGCGGCAGCACGUACAGGCUGCUGAUAUACGAGCCCAGGGAAUGGCGGACACCGAGUUGAGGUGUGCCGUUGUCGCACCUGGGGAGGGGUGCGAUACAUAGCCAAUGUGCUUUGCGAUAUAAUGAAGCUAAAUGUGCUCCAAAAUGGAGGAGGACUGUUCACUCAGUGACAUAUUCGUUCAGAGUUAGUUGAUCAUACUCAUAACAAUUGUGUUGCAUUGUUCAAUGAAGUUCAAUGCAUUUCCUUAACUGAUUGCAUAUAUCAUAUAAUAGCACUGUUUUACCAUUGUAUACUGUGUCCAUAAAACCAUGUGAGUUAUUAGGUGUUGUUUCGUUUUGUCAUAUUGUAGCACGCUACAUCUUGACCAUCUAACGUAGUAUCUUUUCGGCAUGGCCGGCCGGGUGACGCGCAGCUGAGCAGAGCGCUGCCGCACGCUUCCCUCCCUUGUCAUUAUUCCCUCCCUCCUCCCACCAGUACCCAGGUCCACCCUCCCCAAUCAUUUCUCACUGUCCGCACAGAAUGGGCCGCCAUUAAACUCCAAUUAAGACAAGCACCUCUGAAGACAGUCACAUUAGGAUGAGUCAUUGGUAGUCAUUACAAAGCAGCUGAAGCUACAAGCAGACGUCGGCACGGCACACUGUGAGGCUGUGCGCAGGCUUAAGGCACGUAACACAUUGGGUCUCACGUAGCCACAGACGCACCACAACAGUGAGUCACACCGCAACGGUACGUGCUGACCUUAGCAACAGCCUCCGGCAGUACAGACGUAGUUCCAGACGUCCCCACCGCGGACAGAAGGCGCUGCGUUACAGCCACGCCCGGGACGGUGGGCGGAGCAAGAGUGACGUCACAGGGGCGUUACGGCAGACGAAACGGAGUGAAACAAAAGUUUGAAUAAAAUGAAAUUGAAAAAUCUAAAGCUCGAAGAUCACAAACCUUUCAGGGAUUGCUUUAUGCCAGCGAUUGCUAAAAUGAUAAAGCACUCAACACGAAGACGAUUCGACGGCCAAAAAUUGCAGGCACAGAGGAGCAAGGUGACUAAACAGGACAGAGGGCGCCAUCUUACGGACCCACCCACCAGAGGAAGACAGAGGAAGAUGACGGCGCAAGGGCGUGGCAG